UUUAGUUAAGGGGGUCAAAUUGGGUUAUUUAGAAAAUAAAAACUUUUAAUUACGGGUCGAACAGGGUUGAGAAAUUAGAACGGGUCAUUUAGGGUUGAAUAGAAAAGAAAGCACGGGUUGAAGAAUGGGUUAUCUUCUUCAUUGAAUCAAACCGACACCACCUCUCUCUCUCUACAACAACAACAAUAACAACCGCUGCCAGAUUAAAUUCGAGACCCCAAUACCUCUUAAUUCCGUAUAAUUCUGCUCAUCCAGUUGCUGAAUAUCCAAAUUACAACCGAAUUUCAGUUUUCCGGUUAAUUGUGUUGUUAUCAUGAUCAAUCGGAGUAGGGGAUCUUGUGUUUUAGGGUUUGUAGUUUUUGGUUUUUUUUUAUGUUGAGAGGCUGUACGGUUCGAUCCGUAAAGGUUCGGGAUCGUUUGCGGUUAGCGAGGUUGAAUAUGGGGAGGAUUUUGAGAGUUGCAGGGAAGAUGAUGAUGGAGGAAGUGCAUAUUAUCGUGAUAGAGGUGUGAGUUUAGAAGGUGAUGUUUAUGUCGAGUUGGUUUAUAGUGAUGCGAUUAAGAAGUUGAAAGCAAUUGCGGAUCGGAUGAUUCGGUCGGGAUAUGAGAAAGAGUGUUGUCAGGUGUAUAGUAAUGUGCGGCGCGAUGUGUUGGAUGAGUGUUUGUCGAUUCUAGGGGUUGAGAAGUUGAGUAUUGAGGAAGUGCAGAACAUUGAGUGGAAAAUACUGGAUGAGAAGAUGAAGAAGUGGAUACAGGCGGUUAAAGUUGUGGUUAAAGUUCUUUUGUUUGGGGAGAAACGGUCGUGUGGACAGGUUUCUAGAGUGUUGGGUUACUUUGCUUUCGGUGAAAACACGCGAGAUAUUGUCACUGCGAACAUGGGGAAAGGCGUGUUAAGUUCGUUAGUGCAGUAAAGAGCCUUCGAUCAAACAAUGAGGCGUGUUAAGUUCGUUAGUGCAGUAAAGAGCCUUCGAUCAAACAAUGAGGCGUGUUAAGUUUGUUAGUGCAGUAAACUCUUUGAACAGUUUAUUCGGUGUUUUAUUUGCUUUUGUUAUCGUUGUUAGACGUUUAAUCAAAUGAUUGAAAUGAUAUUAGCAAGUCUUGAAUUUUAUUUAGAGAAGGUUUGCGAGUGUAUUUGAUUUAUCGCGUGUUAACGUUUGGCGCAUGUUUUUCGUA